rnacentral:rRNA from 1 species
AUUGAACGCUGGCGGCAUGCCUUACACAUGCAAGUCGAACGGUAACAGGUUAAGCUGACGAGUGGCAAACGGGUGAGUAAUGUAUCGGAACGUGCCCAGUCGUGGGGGAUAACUGCUCGAAAGAGCAGCUAAUACCGCAUACGACCUGAGGGUGAAAGCGGGGGAUCGCAAGACCUCGCGCGAUUGGAGCGGCCGAUAUCAGAUUAGGUAGUUGGUGAGGUAAAGGCUCACCAAGCCGACGAUCUGUAGCUGGUCUGAGAGGACGACCAGCCCGACUGGGACUGAGAAACGGCCCAGACCCCUACGGGAGGCAGCAGUGGGGAAUUUUGGACAAGGGGGGCAAGCCUGAUCCAGCCAUGCCGCGUGCGGGAAGAAGGCCUUCGGGUUGUAAACCGCUUUUGUCAGGGAAGAAAAGGUUCUGGCUAAUACCUGGGACUCAUGACGGUACCUGAAGAAUAAGCACCGGCUAACUACGUGCCAGCAGCCGCCGUAAAAC